rnacentral:tRNA from 1 species
GGACUCGUAGCUCAGCUGGUUAGAGCGGUCCGUUCACAUCGGACAGGUCAGAGGUUCGAGCCCUCUCGAGUCCA